UGCAAUUACCCAUAUUUGGAUGAAAAAUAAAUAAUAAUUCUGGCGAUCAAAACUUAGAUCCAAAAUGUCACAAACAAACAAACAAAAACGAAGAAAAAUUAGUCAAAAACUUGUUGAUUUGUGGUUGUUGAUGAAAGCAAUCUGUUCUGAAAGAUUAUUUGGUGGCGGCAUCGAUCUGGAGAGGUUCUGAUAGCGCUGCCCCCUUCCUGCUUCCGGCGUACCUGAUACCCAACCAAACAUGAUUCUACACGGUUCCGGAUAACCAAAGCGGAAACGAAAAGGAAGCAAGGAUGAGUUGAGAAGCAUACGAGGCCGAAACUGAAGAACCUGAAUUUCACUGGACUUGCAUCGGUGCACGAUUUUCAGCAAUAAUUCCAAAUGAUUCCAACAAAUCGGCAUCAGUGCAACGUUUUCGCCAAAGAAAACCUUCGGAGAGCACGGCGUGAAUCUUGAUGCCAAUCGAACAUGUAGAAAUGAUUGCCACGUCACCUCCAGAGGCAAGCACAUCCCUUCCGGCAGCUAGGCUAGGUGAAUUAUUUAAGCACUACGGCGAAAACGAAAGGACAUCUUGGAGUGACCGGGAAGUGAAACUUAUUAAAUAUGGAACAUUAAUAAUUUAUUGUAUUUUGCCCUUAUGAGCCGUUAUUAGCAAUAAACGAUUUAUUUUUAUCAUA